CCCCGCCCUCUCAAGAUGGCGGCGCGGAAGGGCCGGCGGCCGGUCCGGAGUGCGCCUGCGCGCCGCGGCCCGGAGUGCAGUGAAAUUCCUGGCGGGCGGGGGGAGGAGGAGGUGGUGGUGCUGAGGAGGAGGAGGAGAAGGGAGGCACGGAGCCACGGCCGCGCUCCCCUGCCAGGGACCCUGCGUGCUGUGGCGGCGGCCGGCGCGGAGCCAGACCCCCGGGGGGCGCGGUGCGGGCGGGCUGAGGGCCACUCGCCGCCGCCUCGGGCUCUCGCAGCACCAGGAGCCGCGCCGUCCCCGCCGCCGCUGGGACUCCCUCCCCGGGCAGAGAGGGGGAGAAUGACGGAGCUCCAGUCCGCCUUGCUACUGCGGAGACAACUAGCAGAGCUCAACAAAAAUCCAGUGGAAGGCUUUUCAGCGGGCUUAAUAGAUGACAAUGAUCUUUAUCGAUGGGAAGUCCUUAUUAUUGGUCCUCCAGAUACACUAUAUGAAGGUGGUGUUUUCAAGGCUCAUCUUACUUUUCCAAAAGACUAUCCACUGAGGCCGCCAAAAAUGAAAUUCAUCACGGAAAUCUGGCAUCCAAAUGUUGACAAGAAUGGUGAUGUCUGCAUUUCAAUUCUUCAUGAGCCUGGAGAAGACAAAUAUGGCUAUGAAAAACCUGAGGAACGCUGGCUUCCCAUUCACACAGUGGAAACUAUAAUGAUUAGUGUUAUUUCUAUGCUGGCAGAUCCCAAUGGUGAUUCUCCUGCUAAUGUUGAUGCAGCGAAAGAAUGGAGAGAAGACAGAAAUGGAGAAUUUAAAAGAAAAGUUGCCCGCUGUGUAAGAAAAAGCCAAGAAACUGCUUUUGAGUGACACUUAUUCAGCAGCUAGUAGCUUCACUUUUUUCAGGGCAAAAAACCACCCAGACCUCUUUCUUCAGUCGCAUGGUCUCAGUGGAGUUCUUCAGCUGUCUCCAAUUGAGAAACAUGGCACUGUUUUUUUUCCUGCACUCUACCCACCUAUUGCUGGACUUCUGUUGUUACAAGUUGGCAAACACUGGCUGGAACUGGGCUGCAAUAAAACAUGCCAGUUAUCAAUGCUGACAAGAGCCUAACAAGUGCCAACACAAGAUGAUUACGCAUUUUGAAAUCUAAUGAACUGCUUUAACCUUCAGGAAGAAUUGUAAAGAUGUGUACAUAGCACAACAUGAUCCGGAUAAUAUAUAUACUGUUCAUGUACAUCCACAAAUACACAUUGUACCAAAUAAUGCUGUCUGUAGUUAGGAAUAGAUUCGUGUAAAUUCUAAAGAUUUUAGCAGGUUUUUCUCUCCCUAUUCAUUGUUUCCUCUCAGUUUAAAAGACAAACCAACACCACCUUGUGAAGCAUGUCAGACAAAAACUGAUUAGGACAAAGUUGGGGUUUUGUGUUGUUUUUUUUUCCUCCCCCACUUUAAUUUUCCUUUGACCCACUGAGGCUUAAUUAAAAUCUCUUGCUUAUUCAAGUUUAGUAUCUCUUUUUUUGGGGUUUGGUUUUUUUUUGUUUUUUUUUCCUGAGAAAUGUGCUCACUUUUAUUUCCCCCCUGUCAGAACUGAGAAUUGUCCGAAUUGAGCCCUGAAAGGAUUUGCUAUCAAUUACUUGUGUCAUCUUUAUGAUGACCUUUGUAGUCUCAAAGGUGCUUUUUUCUCCCCUUCUCACCCCCUUUUUAAACCUAGUUGCACAUACUUCUUGACUUGGGUAUAGCAAUAAACUGGCCAUGGAGCACCCUUGAGCAGCCUGCUGGAUUUUUAACUUCCAAGGCACUUGAGCGCUUUUAUUUGGAAGUUCAGUUGACUAAGUUAGUCCAAGGUAGGAAUGAGCUGCUUUUUAUGGGUGAAUUCUUCUUUUUUGCCUUUUUCAUUGCCUGUCUGUGGGGCGGGAGGUGCAUAUGGGAGGCUUGUUUUUUCUCAAGGUUGAGUUCAAGCAUGCACAUCUGUAGGCUUUUCAAGUAACUAACUACUUCUGGGUUUGGUAUCAAAAAUAGCUUCCCUCCUUUUCCCUUUUCUCUCUUCUGUGGCGCUUCAUAUUCUUUGCCUUCUACUUCAGAGUUUUCCUCACCUAAUGUACAAAGAAAAUUGCGAUGUAUAUUUUCAUGUAAUUUGAUUUUUUUGGAAUUCUGUCACCUUCUGUAGUGAGUUCUUCCAAAAUAUAAUUUUUUCCAAUAACAAUGUGUCAAACUGGCUGUCUUGCGUGUCUGAAUAGGAAAGGUAACUGCAGUGGGAGCACAACUUACCUGACCAUCUUCAACAACAUAAUGUCAGCAAACACUUUUGAAUGUGACAUUCUGUAUUUCAUCUUGGAGUAAUUAAAAAGCAAACAAAAGUCACACCUUUCUUCCUAUUGUAACUAUAUUUUACCCUUCAGUGAGCAAAUACUCAUCCAUCCCAGAGUACCUGCUAAUCGGAGUUCUCCAAGCCUACCUGAAAUACCUUUCUACCAAAGAAACUCUGUAGAUGAACUUGCAACUACUUGACUGUUCUCUGCUCUGUCACAGGUUUACUACAGCUUUUAACAGCACUGAAUAACCCACUAAUAAAACAAGAGUUACAGUGUUACAGUCAGCUUGUAAGAAGCCUUCAGCACUAAUUUGUGAGCUGGUUGGACUUUAUUUCAGGUUGCUGUGCAACAUGAAAUACUAAAAGGCUCUACACAGUACUGUAUUACAGGUUUCUUGAGGGGUGGGCUGGGGUGGAAGGAGAUGAUGGUCACUAGAGGCAAGACAGCCAUAGGGGAUAAAAAAAAAAGCCAUUUAGUAAGUAUGAGAUGACUUACAAGUAAAGGUAUUCUUCCUACAGGCAGUGUAGAUAAACACAGAUGUGUUUAAUGUUCACAUUUAUGUAUAGGGUAACUAAUUAUCUUGAGAAAUCCGUAGUUAAAUUAGCUUUUAGUUGGAUAGCCUGCUCGUGUAGGCAGGCAGCUGUGUGCAGUACUUCAGCGCUGUUAGUGCCCAGAGAGAAUAGCUGGUGUUAUUUCCUGCUGGAGUGCUUGUCUGAAACUGCUUGUGAGGAUGUUUCUUUCCCACCAGCUGGCUCCCCCUUCUUCACUUAUCUAAGAGUUUGGACUGUGUAGAAUUCCCCUGGCACAGUGCCAUUCUUUUCCUGAACAAAAUACUGGGAAGAAGCUACUCUUCUCUUCCUAAACCUAGCAGUGGACUUCUUCCCACCAGGGCUGCCUGCCUUUGCCUUUCCCUUUCCGCAGUGUAGCUAGAGACUUGGCAGCAAUUCAAGGUAACUAGAACUUGCUGCUCUCAGCAAGUUCAACAGUGUUCUCUGUUUUGUCUUCCUGAGUAUCUCAACAGGCUCAUCUGUAAACUUCACCAAAUAGUUUAAAGCUUUAUUUUUCUCAUUUCUUGCCCAGAUGGUUUGUGAUUUCCAUGACCCACAUACCCCAAAGGAAGGAAUGUUUCUGUGGGAUACUGUUAAGAUGUACAAGCUUGCAGGUAUGGCUGAUGCUGGAUGUUUAAAGGAAGGAGUGAGCUGGGAGUCUGGUGCUAAACACCCACAUUAUAGAAAGCCUCUAGCAGGGAAAGGGCCUGUCUGACCUCUCUGUGAAUGCAGUUGGCUUUUUGUUUGCUCUUGCCCCACACACGAAAGGCAUCUGGCUGUGAUGGUCACUGAUGCAACCAGAAGUUUCUGCUUAGCCUCAAGUUAGGAACACCGCUGAAGAGAUGUUGUACGUACAUGUAAGACUAGAAUACUUGUUGAACGGCAAGUUAACCAGCAUUCUUACUCAGUUUCACUUGUACCAAGGUCUUGUAUCAACUGCUUUACUUAGGCUGUCAGUGUACUGGGUCAUCAAUACUCUUUGUAGUUCCCUGGAGGCUUGUAAUUAUGGUUGAGUUUUUUGUGCUGUUUUUUCCUCUUACCACAUUGUGGCCUGCUUUCCAGACAACACUGCAUCACUGGGGGAGAAGGGAAAGCAAAGCGUGGAAUUUUAAUAAGCAUCAAACAAGUAUGGACAUCCUAAUUCCUUUUUUAUAUGUCUCCAUGCUGCCCCUUGCACAUCAGGGAAGACCUCUGUAAAAAUGAGAAGGGCUGCUCAGCUGUCAUGCUAAAGUUCUUUCCUGCUGUGAUGCCUAGAAAAUGCUGAUUGAAACUAGAUGCUCAAUAAAUGGAGAACAUUUAAUUCUGAA